CUAUUGGAUACAUGGAGAGUGUCAACUAAUACUGUAAUCAAAGAUUUAAACUACAACCAGUUAAACCAGAAGAGAACAGAUAUUUCAAGAGUCAGCUCAGGAAGGCAGACCUUAAGGGUAUAAUAUAGAUGAUGAUUAAUUUGUAUUGGAAGAAUCUGGCAGAAGAAGAGAAGAAUAUGAUAGGACAUGUCUGUUUCUUUGAUCUCAUCAAUACAAUUCUGUUGCUUCAAACAGAAGUGGCUGCGAUUUAUCUCGACUAAUUAUCAUGUUGAGGGGAGCCGGCACAGGGAGCCCUUGGGGUUGCGCAUCCUCCGCCUCCUCGGUACCUGCUCACCCUGGUGAGCAGCGCGAGGAGGGCCGCCCCAGGAACCCCGGAAGGAUGGCCAUGGCGUCUGCUCGAUGGAUGCUAAGGUUUGCCUUUUCUUCUCAGAAGGCGGAUCUGCCCGGCCAUGGACUGGGCUGUUUCGACCUCCUGUUGGGUGAUGCCGCACUCACGCUCGAGAACCUCACGUUCUUUAAUGUUAUGAUUGGCGCGGUUGUCUGGAUUUGGAAGUGGUGAACAAGAGAAAAGUUACUAUCUCACUUGAAGACAAUGGAUUACUGCUGGUGUAUAUAUGUAAAAUUACUUACUGGUGGUCUUACUUUCAGAUCGCAAGUUUGUCCGAAUCAGACUGGAAAAGAAUUGCUUGGACAUUCUUGGGUAUUGUGGUCCUGUGAUUUUUUAAUAUGCUCAGACACUGUGAGUAGCUAAAUGGUUCCUUGCCUUCUGUUAAAAUAGUGUUGUUUCUGUGGAGCAGGUAAAAGAGUCCUAUUUUUGGUUCAGGUUUCUUGCCAAUAAUUAUCCUUUUGGCUGCAUCGUGUUCUUCCGGCAACUAUGUUAAUUGCUCUGAGGUUAAACUCUCAUUAUCUACCACGCCUUUCUAAACAUGUGUUGUUGCUAGCUUCAGGUUAAACUCUCUCAUUAUCUACCACGCCUUUCUAAACAUGUGUUGUUGCUAGCUUCAGAUGGGAUUUCUUCUGUUCUGUAUAUGUACGGAGGCUUCGUAUGUCUUCUUACUUAUAACCCUGAUUGGGAACCCAGGUUACACAUCUGCGGGAGGUAUGGCACAUACCUAUUGAAGUUAAAGACUAAUUCUCAAACAGGUGUGGUUCUGGUCAGGGUCCUGUUAUUGAAGUUAUUGCUAGACGUUAGUCUUCAUAUGGUCUGGAGACCUUUAUAUCAAGAAUUUACCUCAGUUGCCAAUUAGGCUCUUCACUAGGUCAGUCGCAUGGACAUUCUUUUAGCCAUGAAUGAUAAGUACAUACAUUUUUCUUAGCAUGUAUCUGGCAAGCUAUUCUCUGUUAUUUUAGAUUUUUUUUUACUGUAAUGACAUUAUAAAGAUGAUCAAGUUGGGUUUUCGUGAGUAAAAAACUCACGGUCUUGGCUUUUCUAUUAGGUAGAAAAGUAAAUAUGUAGGAGUGUUACUGAGUCAGUAUACAUUGACUCUUAUUGGAGCAGUGUAAGGAUCUGAUGAAAAAUAUUUCUUUUUCCAUCAUUUUCACUGCAUAACAUAUGGUCUUACUCGACCACCCAAAAAUUUAUUUAGAAGAGAAUGAUCAUGCAGGUCUAUGUCGUGUCCUCUUCUUGCCAUUAGGCUCUUAAAUCUUAGAAUGCACCAAUCAUGAGAUAGAGAAGGCAACUAAAAAGAGGAAGAAGCAAUUCCUCUUCUCACUAACACAAGGCUGCUUUACCGCGGGAAGACAGGCUGUGAAAAUGGAAAGAGUUCCUUGACAUAGAAUGGAGCAGCACUCCACACUCGUGCCUAGAAUUACUGAUAUUUGUAUAUAUGUAACUAGGCUGCCAACUUUGAAUUUUAUCCUAUGUUGUAUGACGUAUAUUGCUACC